UCCAGGUACUGUGGAUGGAUCCCAAAAUGAUACAAGUGACAAGGGACUUUGAAGGUGUGGAAGUGAAAUAAGACAUUUAUUACGGUAUGUUUUUCAAGUUCACAUCAACACAUUAAUGGUAAACCUAUCAAUGGUAGUUAACAUUGGACAUUGUUGUAUGGAGGUGGGUGAUGCUUGGACCUACAGAUAUUUAAUAUCUGUUUAGUAGUCAGAUAUUAAUUGAUAUUAAAUCAUAUUUAAUAAUCAGAUAUUUACAUAGGUGAUGUGUUUCUCACGUUUCUUAUUAUCAUGACUCUUUUGCACGUAGUCAGGUAAGAAAUCAUAGAAACCUUAUAAAUUCUAGCGACCAUAUUAUCCUACUGUUUUACAUGUUAGAAAAAAUUAUGUUUGACCAUGUGAUUGUUGAGCAAUUUACAGAUAUCCACAUAAUUACGACUGAGCUGUGAGUUACAGGAAUAACCUUGGUAUUUUUCAGGAGAGCAGUCAAGAGAUGAUGACGUCUCUAACAAUGGCACCUAUCUUAGGGUACUUCAAGGUUCCAGGGAGAGCUGAUGAGUUCUGCGGUGAUGGCAGUGAACAAGGCUUUUUUGGGGGUCCAGCUGUAGAAAGUGUGACUGUAGAUGUAUUUGCCACAAAGUGUUUUCCAGGUUCCUGUCAAGAGAUCACAGUGAACCUCCUAAUGAUCAUUAAAGGGACAUUGCUUGAAUCAGGUAAGCGCUGCUCUGUGCCCCAAGCUCCCUACAGACCACCUGAUCUUCAGAUCUUAGAGUCAGUGGGGUUCUUAACAUUUGUGUUACCAUGGUGGGUUUGUUUUUUUUUCUUUUGCGAUUACUCAGUUAUGUUUUCCCAACAUAAUAAGUCUUGCCCAACAUAACCAAUAAGUCUUUAUUAUUUUAGAGUUUAGAUAUACUGUAUAUUUAACCUUAGUAGCCACUGAGGGAUAGGUGGGUGUCCCAGUAACUUACUCCUCUGUUCCACACCAUGGUACUUACAAUGAGAUUUCUCUAGGUAGUCAGGAAAGAGACGACGGUUUCUCUAACUCUGGUGUUUACCUUUAACCUCUGCGAGGAUCCCAGGAGUCUUGGUGGUUCCUGCAGCGAUGGAGGUUCCAGCAGUCAUGAGAUCACAGUGAACCUGACAAUGGUCCUUAACAGGACCUUACCGGUAACCAAGUAAGUGAAAAAGUCGGUCUUAGCUCAAUACAGACCAUCUGAUCUUCAGAUAUCUGAGUGAUUGAGUGUGGUUUCCGAGACACCAUGUCACCUAGUGGUUUCGCAAUUGUCCCCGUGAAGGCCUUUCCUGGUACACAGGUAUGAGAACAUGCGGCAUUACCGCCUUAGAGAGCUGCUUGAUUUUCAUAUGUGAAUGUGGCUUUCAACACUAAGGUAACUGUGAUUUUGACAUCUUUGCAGCUCAGAAAUUGACCCAACUAGUGCUAGUAAGUAUGAGACUUUACUGGUUUCUUGUUCCAAGAUUGUAUGUUUCCUACAGCCCGGGGGGUUGGAAGGCAGAGACCUGCUCAUUCCUCAUACUGUCCCUCACCACGUGACUGCCCAGGGCCGUUUUGCAGGUAGCCCUUCAGGAGAGGAAGGUAUCUCUCAUUAGGAUAAAACGUCAGUGUCCUGCAGGUAUCCAGGUAACACUGAUGAACUGCAGAUGAUACAGUUGACUGAGGAAUUUGCUGGUGUCCCACUAGAAUGAGCCGUGGACCAAGCACAUUUUCCACUAUUUUUUCCCAGGUUCAUGUGAAGACCUCACUAUGAGCCUGUCGCUGGUAGUUAAUGUCGUACUCAUGUCAGAUGCUGGAGUACGUGAUGACGUGGGUCUACACCAUGGCACAGGUCACAUGAUCUUCAUACACAGAGGUGAGUGAUUACAGUGGCUCUAACACCUGGGUUAGCAUACAUUUUUGCAGCUCUCCCUCUCGGGCCUUGACAGUACACCGUGUAUGCGUGCUGUAGCAUGAACUCAUUAUAGACGUCCUUGCGCCAGACUCCUACUUCCCCCAUUUUGGGCAAGUACAAGUUCCAUUAAUUGGACCCUCCUAGUACUAGCCAAGUAGGAGUUUUUAUUGUUCUCUUGUACGGUGAUAAAGUGUAUUUCUCACUCACAGUGGCAGACAAAUGGUAAACAUCCAGGUUCUUUAUUAUAUUGUUGUAACUGCAUUAUUACUGUGGGAUAUUUGCAGGUGUGCCUCCAAGAGAGGAAGGUAAACCUUACUGGAGUUUAACCUCAGUGUUCUGGGAGUGUCCAGGUAAUGUUCAUGGGUUCCCAAAUGGUACAGGUGACAAGGGGAUUUGCAAGUGCACAGGGAGAAGAACGAGAUGUGUACCAAACACAUAAACCACAACACGUUUUCCAGCACAUGUGGAGAGAUCCCCUGAGCCUAGCCAUAGCCAUGAAUGGGGCUGGGGGACAUUGCUCGUAUCGAGGUAAGUGAUACACUAGACUGAAACCACAAAUGUUUAGGUAAGUUGGUAACAUGUGCUGACACUUCUUAUUAUCAUGAUUUUGUUGCAGGGAUUCAGGUAAGAAAUAAAAACCCUUACCAAUUCUAGAGACUAUACAUUUUUACUUUUUACAUUUUAGAUAAAAUUUAUGUUAAUUAAUACCAUAUAUGUUAAGAGAUCAUAGGUAUGUAGGUAUUUGUCAUGGUUUUCCCUGCCACAGUACUACCCAUAUGAUUUUUUACAGGUGUGCAGUCAAGAAAUGAUGGUUUUCUGACAUUGGUGUUGACCUGGGAGUACUAUUCCUGUCAAGAGAUCAUAGUGAACCUAAUACGGGUCAUUAAUGGGGGCAGGGAUGUUGCUGGUAUGCAGGUAAGGGAAGCUGUGGGCCUAAACCACGGGAAAGGCCAUCCAAUCUCCAGAGAAUUUGGUAAGUAUUGGCAGUGGCCCGAACAUUGAUACCAUGAUUUCUUCAGGGGCAUUCAGGUAAGAAAUGGUAUAGAUCCCUUGCCCAUAUAGAAACCAUGUAUUUUCAUUUUCUAUGUUUUAAAGACAAUUUUUGUUUAUCUCUGAGUGUUAGAGUAGUAUCAUAGCUAGGCAAUUAAGAUGAUGUUUCCUACCACAGUAGUGACCAUGGGAAUUUUGCCAGUGUCCUGUUAGGAAAUGUUGUCUCACCUGACUGUGAUCUUGACCUUGGAGUAUACAAAGAUUCUGGUAUAGUUAAUGUUUUUCAAUGAUGAAAAUGAUAAAGACUUUUAGGAGAUGUCCUGGUAGAACAAGUUGUAUUCUUUUAUACAUAUAUCAUAAUGUGUUUUUCAGGUUCAUGUGCUAAGCUCAUGAUGAACCUAAUGGUUAUUAACAGGUGACAGUUCUGGUAUCCAGGUAAGAGAUGGUACACACCUUCAUCACAUCACAGAACAGCCAGUCGUCACAUACUGACAUAAGUGAUGUUCAUUCUUGUUUGACCAUGGGCUUUUCUUUUUCUUUUUGCUAGGUUUUCAGGUAAGAAAUGAUCAUGUUUGACCAGUUGUAGAAACCGUGUUAUCCUACUGCUUUAUAUUUUAGAAAAAAAAAGUUGUUUAACCAUGUGAGUAUUGAGCAGUUUGCAAAUAUCUAUGUAAUUACUGUUAGUAGUGUGGUUUGGGUUUAUUUUUGUUGUUUGUGUGUGUGUGUGUGUGUGUGUGUGUGUGUGUGUGUUUGCUUUCUUACAGGUGAACAUUCAAGAGGUGAUGGCAUUUCUGACAGCGAGGUAGGCCUGUCUGUGAUUCUAGGUAGAUUGAAUGAGUCAUGGGAUGCCUGGAUGGUUGAGUCAUUUAAGCAUCUGCUUUUGCCUUCAGGUCAUGAUCCCAGGGUCCU